UGGGGAAUAUUGGACAAUGGGCGAAAGCCUGAUCCAGCCAUGCCGCGUGGAUGAUGAAGGCCUUAGGGUUGUAAAAUCCUUUCGCCGAGGACGAUAAUGACGGUACUCGGAGAAGAAGCUCCGGCUAACUUCGUGCCAGCAGCCGCGGUAAUACGAAGGGGGCUAGCGUUGUUCGGAUUUACUGGGCGUAAAGCGCGUGUAGGCGGGUCGUUAAGUUGGGGGUGAAAUCCCGAGGCUCAACCUCGGAACUGCCUUCAAAACUGGCGACCUGGACCUAAGUAGAGGCAAGUGGAAUUGCGAGUGUAGAGGUGAAAUUCGUAGAUAUUCGCAGGAACACCAGUGGCGAAGGCGACUUGCUGGACCUAUGGUGACGCUGAGACGCGAAAGCGUGGGGAGCAAACAGGAUUAGAUACCCCCGUAGUCCCUGAGCGGGCUGGCAAGGCGCAU
rnacentral:rRNA from 1 species